GGGUUGUGAGGUUAAGCGACUAAGCGUACACGGUGGAUGCCCUGGCAGUCAGAGGCGAUGAAGGACGUGCUAAUCUGCGAUAAGCGUCGGUAAGGUGAUAUGAACCGUUAUAACCGGCGAUUUCCGAAUGGGGAAACCCAGUGUGUUUCGACACACUAUCAUUAACUGAAUCCAUAGGUUAAUGAGGCGAACCGGGGGAACUGAAACAUCUAAGUACCCCGAGGAAAAGAAAUCAACCGAGAUUCCCCCAGUAGCGGCGAGCGAACGGGGAGCAGCCCAGAGCCUGAAUCAGUAUGUGUGUUAGUGGAAGCGUCUGGAAAGGCGCGCGAUACAGGGUGACAGCCCCGUACACAAAAAUGCACAUAUUGUGAGCUCGAUGAGUAGGGCGGGACACGUGGUAUCCUGUCUGAAUAUGGGGGGACCAUCCUCCAAGGCUAAAUACUCCUGACUGACCGAUAGUGAACCAGUACCGUGAGGGAAAGGCGAAAAGAACCCCGGCGAGGGGAGUGAAAAAGAACCUGAAACCGUGUACGUACAAGCAGUGGGAGCACGCUUAGGCGUGUGACUGCGUACCUUUUGUAUAAUGGGUCAGCGACUUAUAUUCUGUAGCAAGGUUAACCGAAUAGGGGAGCCGAAGGGAAACCGAGUCUUAACUGGGCGCUAAGUUGCAGGGUAUAGACCCGAAACCCGGUGAUCUAGCCAUGGGCAGGUUGAAGGUUGGGUAACACUAACUGGAGGACCGAACCGACUAAUGUUGAAAAAUUAGCGGAUGACUUGUGGCUGGGGGUGAAAGGCCAAUCAAACCGGGAGAUAGCUGGUUCUCCCCGAAAGCUAUUUAGGUAGCGCCUCGUGAAUUCAUCUCCGGGGGUAGAGCACUGUUUCGGCAAGGGGGUCAUCCCGACUUACCAACCCGAUGCAAACUGCGAAUACCGGAGAAUGUUAUCACGGGAGACACACGGCGGGUGCUAACGUCCGUCGUGAAGAGGGAAACAACCCAGACCGCCAGCUAAGGUCCCAAAGUCAUGGUUAAGUGGGAAACGAUGUGGGAAGGCCCAGACAGCCAGGAUGUUGGCUUAGAAGCAGCCAUCAUUUAAAGAAAGCGUAAUAGCUCACUGGUCGAGUCGGCCUGCGCGGAAGAUGUAACGGGGCUAAACCAUGCACCGAAGCUGCGGCAGCGACGCUUAUGCGUUGUUGGGUAGGGGAGCGUUCUGUAAGCCUGCGAAGGUGUGCUGUGAGGCAUGCUGGAGGUAUCAGAAGUGCGAAUGCUGACAUAAGUAACGAUAAAGCGGGUGAAAAGCCCGCUCGCCGGAAGACCAAGGGUUCCUGUCCAACGUUAAUCGGGGCAGGGUGAGUCGACCCCUAAGGCGAGGCCGAAAGGCGUAGUCGAUGGGAAACAGGUUAAUAUUCCUGUACUUGGUGUUACUGCGAAGGGGGGACGGAGAAGGCUAUGUUGGCCGGGCGACGGUUGUCCCGGUUUAAGCGUGUAGGCUGGUUUUCCAGGCAAAUCCGGAAAAUCAAGGCUGAGGCGUGAUGACGAGGCACUACGGUGCUGAAGCAACAAAUGCCCUGCUUCCAGGAAAAGCCUCUAAGCAUCAGGUAACAUCAAAUCGUACCCCAAACCGACACAGGUGGUCAGGUAGAGAAUACCAAGGCGCUUGAGAGAACUCGGGUGAAGGAACUAGGCAAAAUGGUGCCGUAACUUCGGGAGAAGGCACGCUGAUAUGUAGGUGAAGUCCCUCGCGGAUGGAGCUGAAAUCAGUCGAAGAUACCAGCUGGCUGCAACUGUUUAUUAAAAACACAGCACUGUGCAAACACGAAAGUGGACGUAUACGGUGUGACGCCUGCCCGGUGCCGGAAGGUUAAUUGAUGGGGUUAGCCGCAAGGCGAAGCUCUUGAUCGAAGCCCCGGUAAACGGCGGCCGUAACUAUAACGGUCCUAAGGUAGCGAAAUUCCUUGUCGGGUAAGUUCCGACCUGCACGAAUGGCGUAAUGAUGGCCAGGCUGUCUCCACCCGAGACUCAGUGAAAUUGAACUCGCUGUGAAGAUGCAGUGUACCCGCGGCAAGACGGAAAGACCCCGUGAACCUUUACUAUAGCUUGACACUGAACAUUGAGCCUUGAUGUGUAGGAUAGGUGGGAGGCUUAGAAGUGUGGACGCCAGUCUGCAUGGAGCCGACCUUGAAAUACCACCCUUUAAUGUUUGAUGUUCUAACGUUGACCCGUAAUCCGGGUUGCGGACAGUGUCUGGUGGGUAGUUUGACUGGGGCGGUCUCCUCCUAAAGAGUAACGGAGGAGCACGAAGGUUGGCUAAUCCUGGUCGGACAUCAGGAGGUUAGUGCAAUGGCAUAAGCCAGCUUGACUGCGAGCGUGACGGCGCGAGCAGGUGCGAAAGCAGGUCAUAGUGAUCCGGUGGUUCUGAAUGGAAGGGCCAUCGCUCAACGGAUAAAAGGUACUCCGGGGAUAACAGGCUGAUACCGCCCAAGAGUUCAUAUCGACGGCGGUGUUUGGCACCUCGAUGUCGGCUCAUCACAUCCUGGGGCUGAAGUAGGUCCCAAGGGUAUGGCUGUUCGCCAUUUAAAGUGGUACGCGAGCUGGGUUUAGAACGUCGUGAGACAGUUCGGUCCCUAUCUGCCGUGGGCGCUGGAGAACUGAGGGGGGCUGCUCCUAGUACGAGAGGACCGGAGUGGACGCAUCACUGGUGUUCGGGUUGUCAUGCCAAUGGCACUGCCCGGUAGCUAAAUGCGGAAGAGAUAAGUGCUGAAAGCAUCUAAGCACGAAACUUGCCCCGAGAUGAGUUCUCCCUGACUCCUUGAGAGUCCUGAAGGAACGUUGAAGACGACGACGUUGAUAGGCCGGGUGUGUAAGCGCAGCGAUGCGUUGAGCUAACCGGUACUAAUGAACCGUGAGGCUUAACCUUACAACGCCGAAGGUGUUU
rnacentral:rRNA from 1 species